rnacentral:rRNA from 1 species
UUGACCUCGGAUCAGGUAGGGAUACCCGCUGAACUUAAGCGCGGAGGAAAAGAAACCAACAGGGAUUGCCUCAGUAACGGCGAGUGAAGCGGCAAAAGCUCAAAUUUUAAAGCUGACAUCUUCGGUGUCCGCGUUGUAAUUUUGUGAGGCAUCUCCGGGCAGGGCGCCGGCCUAAGUUCCUUGGAACAGGACGUCACAGAGGGUGAGAAUCCCGUGCUUGGCUGGCUGUCCCCGUCCAUGUGAGGUGUCUUCGACGAGUCGAGUUGUUUGGGAAUGCAGCUCAAAAUGGGUGGUAAAUUUCAUCUAAAGCUAAAUAUUGGUGGGAGACCGAUAGCGCACAAGUAGAGUGAUCGAAAGAUGAAAAGCACUUUGAAAAUAGAGUUAAAAAGUACGUGAAAUUGUUGAAAGGGAAGCGCUUGAGACCAGACUUCGGUAAGGGGUGAUCAGCCGUCCUUCUGGGCGGUGCACUUGCCCCCCUCCGGGCCAGCAUCGGUUGAGGCGGCGGGAUAAAGGUCCCGGGAAUGUGGCUCCUUCACGGGAGUGUUAUAGCCCGGGUGAAUGCCGCCAGCUUCGACCGAGGACCGCACCCGCAAGGGUUAGGAUGCUUGGCAUAAUGGUCUUCAGCG